AGUUUAGGAGGAAUAAGAGAUAAGACGUUAACUGAAGAAACUGAAUAUUUUAGUAGAAUAAUUAAUCUUUUUCUCUAUAUUGCUGCUUGAAGAUUCUUUGGUAACAAUAAGUGAUUGAUGGAUUUGUGUCAUGGAUCACGUAAUAACUGUUCCAUUUAUAGAAUAUUGAUGCUAGAAUCCAUAGAAUUUGGACAGCACUUCUUCCUCCAAUCUUGAGAACAACUCGUGGAGUUUGCCAAAAUGUAUGUAAAUUGGUUUAUGAUAAGAUAUUCAAUCACAAGAGUCAACAACAAUAACAAACCCAAUAUAAUCCCACAAGUGGGGUUUGGGGAGGGUGGUGUGUAGGCGGACCUUACGUCUAUCUUGAAGGUAGAGAGUCUGUAUCCGAUAGACCCUCGGCUCAAGGAAAGAUGAGAAGAAAGCAAUAUCACAAGCAUUAACAACAAGAAGAUAAUAAGAAAACGAAGCGAAAGGAACAAUACAUAGUAUUGGAAAUCUUACAAUAAUAGGACACCGGACUAACACUAAUACUACUGGUAUGGGAAACUCCAGACUAACAAGAGGAAUAUGCCUGAAAAAAUCAUUCUUUUUCUGCAUGAACUGUUAGAAAAUUUAGUUUGGGCGUGCAAUUAGUUUCCUCAUUGGAGUAUUAAAAGUGGAUCGAUUCCUCAAUUUAUUAAUUUGGUGGUUU
rnacentral:lncRNA from 1 species